AUCUGGCGGCGAGUGGCGAACGGGUGAGUAAUACAUCGGAACGUGCCCAAUCGUGGGGGAUAACGCAGCGAAAGCUGUGCUAAUACCGCAUACGAUCUACGGAUGAAAGCAGGGGAUCGCAAGACCUUGCGCGAAUGGAGCGGCCGAUGGCAGAUUAGGUAGUUGGUGAGGUAAAGGCUCACCAAGCCUUCGAUCUGUAGCUGGUCUGAGAGGACGACCAGCCACACUGGGACUGAGACACGGCCCAGACUCCUACGGGAGGCAGCAGUGGGGAAUUUUGGACAAUGGGCGCAAGCCUGAUCCAGCCAUGCCGCGUGCAGGAUGAAGGCCUUCGGGUUGUAAACUGCUUUUGUACGGAACGAAACGGCCUUUUCUAAUAAAGAGGGCUAAUGACGGUACCGUAAGAAUAAGCACCGGCUAACUACGUGCCAGCAGCCGCGGUAAUACGUAGGGUGCAAGCGUUAAUCGGAAUUACUGGGCGUAAAGCGUGCGCAGGCGGUGAUGUAAGACAGUUGUGAAAUCCCCGGGCUCAACCUGGGAACUGCAUCUGUGACUGCAUUGCUGGAGUACGGCAGAGGGGGAUGGAAUUCCGCGUGUAGCAGUGAAAUGCGUAGAUAUG
rnacentral:rRNA from 1 species